AUUAGGAUCAGAAGUUUAGUAGAUACUCAACAUAUCACAUUGCUAGAGACUUGUUUUGAAAACUACAAGGGUACUUUCAGAUAAGUGUUAGUGGACCACUAAAACUGAAAAUCUACGCCAUUGGAGGAAACCAGAUCACGGAUCAACAAAUCUCGCGAAUUCAAAUUUCAGAGCCAACAAGCAAGCGCGAGGAAGAGACUGCAUCGCGAGCAUGAAAGCUCUUUGUGGAUUUAUUUGGCAUUAGUUUUAGUGUCGUUUCCAGGAUAGUCAACGAUUCAUUCACAUCAUGUAGCCACCGUUGCCGUAUAUAUCCAUGCCGUCAAUCCAGUUUCGAAUCAGUUGAAGCUCAAACUGUCACGUUCUACAAAUGUUGAAAUAGGAAAAAAUGGCAUGUUUCUGGUACCAACUAGCAGUGCGAUUAAAAAACGGAUAUCCUGACAUGGCCAAAAGCGUGUCACAAGUGACUUGCAGGCAUCAAUCGUUGUCUACUGAAAAGAUUUUAACAAGAGCUAAUGUUUUAGUAGAGUAAGUAUAGUAGUGAAUGUUCGUUUACUCUACUUUGUACAGUUUGCAUAUGUUAUGUUGAUUUCCAUUUAUAAAAUUGCAUAUCUUUUGUAAAAUUUUAAAUAUAAAUGAUGAUGAUCCGUGAGGCUUAUGCAAUUGCAAUCAAUCUCUUUAGAGCAAAUUGAAACACAGCACUAGAAAUAGGGUAACCAAACGCAUUUGAACUACUUCAGACUCGGAAAGCCA